rnacentral:rRNA from 1 species
GACGAACGCUGGCGGCGUGCUAAACACAUGCAAGUCGAACGGACCUUCGGGUUAGUGGCGAACGGGUGAGUAACACGUGGGUGAUCUGCCCUGCACUUUGGGAUAAGCCUGGGAAACUGGGUCUAAUACCGAAUAGGACCACGGCAUUCAUGUGCUGUGGUGGAAAGCUUUUGCGGUGUGGGAUGGGCCCGCGGCCUAUCAGCUUGUUGGUGGGGUAAUGGCCUACCAAGGCGACGACGGGUAGCCGGCCUGAGAGUGUGACCGGCCACACUGGGAAUGAGAUACGGCCCAGACUCCUGCGGGAGGCAGCAGUGGGGAAUAUUGCACAAUGGGCGCAAGCCUGAUGCAGCGACGCCGCGUGAGGGAUGACGGCCCUCGGGUUGUAAACCUCUUUCGCCAGGGACGAAGCGCAAGUGACGGUACCUGGAGAAGAAGGACCGGCCAACUACGUGCCAGCCGCCGCAGUAA